rnacentral:rRNA from 1 species
UACAUGGGGUGCAAACGUUGCUCGGAAUCAUUGGGCGUAAAGCGCGCGUAGGCGGUUAUUUAAGUUGGAUGUGAAAGCCCUCGGCUUAACUGAGGAAGUGCAUCCAAAACUGAAUAGCUAGAGUACUAAAGAGGGUCGCGGAAUUCCCGGUGUAGAGGUGAAAUUCGUAGAUAUCGGGAGGAACACCGGUGGCGAAGGCGGCGACCUGGGUAGAUACUGACGCUGAGGCGCGAAAGCGUGGGGAGCAAACAGG